CUUGAGUUAUUGGAGCUCUUCCUUACCACCCUGAGUUAUUGGACCUCUUCCACCUGCCAUGCUCCACUCCUGGGAUUGAGAGCCUUCACAAUCUCUUUGCAUCAGUGUGGUUUUUUUUAAGGCAGUGGGGUUAGUGAAUCUUUAUUUUUCAAGUGGUCAGAAGGGUCCUGGCUGUGUGCCGGUAUGAGCUUACGGCACAAACAAAAAGGAGUUGGAAACCUCAUUAUGUUGCCCUGGUAAUGUUGUCUGCAUUGUUUGCUGCAUGCGUAGCCAUUGGCAAUGCCGUUUGGUCUGUGUGUGCUCCGUCUGAGGAGCAGAACCCGGAAGUGAUAACUUGUGUUUUGAGAUCGUUAUCGCGUGUGCUAAGUUUAGUCUCUCUUAAAUCAGUUCUGGAGGACUCCAUAGGUGAAUGCUCUUCCACAGUUUGCACAGCACUCGCUCCUGCUGCAUGCAGCCCAAACCUGUUCACCUAAUGCCAGGUCCCACCUUACUGAGUGAGUUUUCCAUCUGCACAGCUGCAAUCUCACGGAGAGAUUGAAGCGUGGGCGAGCACAGGCACAUGUGAGUGAACUAGAUGUAUGCAAAAGGUGAGUCUUGCUUGCCUUCACUCUUGGAGCAGCAUUACUCCUAAAGGAGGAAGAAGACUACCUUGAAAAAGUGUUCUUGGAUACGGGGUGAAGUUGCAGCACUGCCCUUGAAGCCAAGAAAUUUACUUCUAAUUUAUACACAGGUGUGAAAAUACUACAAAAUGCAACCACAAAAGGUGACACGGGAGAAAUAGGAAAACAGGAGGGCUGAACACUGCUGUUUCCCUGCAUCUCCAGCCAGCAGCGGCUGUGGGCUUCUUCUGAGCUCGUGGACUUCCUCCUCCAAGGCACUUCCAGCAGCAGUUACCUAGAGGAAAGCACAAGGGCAGACUGAGCGUGUUUCUUCGGAUAGUUUUACAGCAUGCUGGUGGCCAGCAGGAUUGUUUGAAGGAGGAGAAACCUGCUUCAUGCAUCCCAUGUCCCUGCAUCUUCUGGAAGCUGGACAGGUUCCGCAGCUCUCGAGGCCCUCUCCAAGCAGGAGUCCUGGGCUGAUGGAAGUGGGCAGUGUCUUCUCCAGAAGCACCCAGCCAGCCCUGCGGAAGGUGUGUGUCUGUGAUCACGUGAGGGCUGCAGUGAUGCUCUCGUGUUUCAGAAGCUGAGCUACGUUUCAGAAAGGAGGGGAGCCAGCUAACAAAAGAAAUCCAGAGAAGAGCAAAAAGCGUUGUGUUUAUGAAGAACAAUUGAACAGGCCAGACAUCUCCAGCCUGUGAGGGAUACAGCAGAGGUCUAUAAAAUCAUGAGUGGCCUGGAAAAAAAUGAAUUGAUUGCUGCUCUUACCUGUUUCCAGAAAAAGCACUUUCAGAAGAAACCAAAGCUCCAGGAGCUCGUGUUCAAGAAGUGAAACGGAGCCAACAUCUGAUUAAGGCAGAUUCGGUCAGGUCAGGGAAAUGAGCUUCCCCAGGGACUUUCUACUGCUGCUGAAAGAGCUCAAGGUUUAAGACUCCUAUCUGCCCCACAGAAACAGAAAUGAUGGGAAUGUGGUUGCCACAGAUGAGAUGACCCAGCUACCUGGAAGAGAAACAACAGAGUCUCAGGAGAAUGUGGGCAGCAAGGGGUUUUCUUGAAGAUGCUCACAGCAGAGAACCCUCCAAGUAUGGAGUAAAAAGCCAGUUCUGUACUGUAAAGCAAUAGAUUCCAGCAGCCAAAGAGGGAAAAGAAAUGAUUGCCAACGUGCUUUCCCUCCAGCAAGCUGGAAAGUAAAUUUGAAACUGAGUGUGAACAGUAAGCAGCUCGUGUGGUGAGUCAGAGUGAGGUCUUGCAUUAGAAUUGAAAAGUCAUAGUGUACAUUUCUGCUCAUGAGUGAAACCUGGACUUCCUUUUCAGUGCCUUCUUAGGACAUGCCAGCCCUGUCAGCAGUCAUGGCCUGGUCUUAGAAAUGAAACUUAUUUUGUUAGGCCCUGCCUUGGGUCACUGCCCAUGGCGGCCUGUCUCUUUUGCAUCGUGCCAUCUUCACUUGUGGGAGCAAUGGGCUUGGUUUUGGAUCUCGUUCUAACCACUGUUUAUGCAGCCACCUCCUUGUGCCAAACCAAGCUGGACUCCAAGGCCACGUCUGUGCUCUCUGGAACAGCACUGGUGCAAUCUUGAUUCCUGUCUGGUUGGUAUUGGCAGCUGGAUUAUCAAGAUGUCUUGAGAAAGUACUUCUGCAAGUAUUUUUCAUAUAAUCAGAGCUGUUAGCAGUGAAAUAUCUUCCCCAGAAAGGAUUCUCCUGAGCUGCACACCGUGACUGCUGCCUUGACAUUCUCCCAAGCUGACAUCCCGACCGGUAUGACACUGAUGCCUUUGGGCAGAAAUCAGAGCCGGUUUGCUACAUGCCUCCAUGUAGCCACGAUGCCUGUAGCGCCUCUGAGAGCCCCCAGUGCCCUGGUGGGGAAAUGGAGCGAGCACGUGGGCCCCAGAUGAACUCCAGGGAGAGAGCAGGCAUUUUCCGUGGUGAUCCUGCUACCCGUUUCCAGUUGUUGAGCUGGCUGGAAGAGAAGCCCUCCGACCGUCUGCUUUAUAUUCAGAUUUCAGAUUUGAGUCCUCACUUAAAGGCACAGCUGUCCCUUGACUUCAGCUAAUUGCCACGUUCCCUUGAAGGAGUGAUGCCUCUCCCAAGCUUCUGUGCUAGCAUCAAGAGAGAACUGAUCUAUGGGCUACUCAGUGGUUACUUACAUCAUUCUUGUGCUUCCAGCCACGUGACCUGACCGCAGGCUUUCAAAAGGUGGCUGCCUGGCUGUUACAAUUUAUCAUGAAUGCAUCUCACUUCACUUUUGGCUCCUCUGACGGAAGGAACAGCCGGUCUCUGGGAGAUCUUGAAAGCAAACAAUAAAAGCUGUAAUGAAAGAAAGCAGCUCAUGCGCAUGGGGAGUACAAGCCAAGCCAUGUCCAUGCCCAAGCAAGUUCAGCAGCCAAUACAAACACCACCACUGUGUUUUGGAAACUCUGCUGGCCUCUCUGGAUUUUGGGAGCCAACACGGUGACGGAAGCCGAUGGCGAAAGCAGUGAGCGAAAACCUCAAAGCUGUGAAAACCGGAAUUUGCCAGGCAUCCAGCUGGACCAGAGGUACCACCACCCAUCUGCUGCACAGCCCCUCACUGCGAGAAGUCCUCCUCACAGAGCUCACUUUAAGGUCUGCUUCACUGCAGCCUUGCAGGAGGCACUCACCUCCACAUUGUCACCAAGCCAACAUGCCACCUCCUCGGCCAGGAGAAUUGCCCCCAAAGGCUCCAGCAGCACCAAGAGAGACCUCACCCAAACUCCCCACCCAGCACACCAGCGCACUGAGAGACAGAUUAUUUGGGAAUCCUCCUCUGCCUUCCCACAAUGCCCUCUGUAGGCUCCGGAGGAACAGAGCAGGAGGUUCCCAGUGUGUGGGGAGCGGGGCUGGGGCUGCGCGAUCCCAUCGGUGCCAGGUGCCCAGGGCAGAUCCACAGUGACGAGCACUAUUUCCUUUAGGAUUUUGAGAUCAGUGCCUCUGUUUUCCAGAUGAGAAAGCCACAGCAUGGUGGUUUCUUUUUGGCCAUCCAGCAGCUCUGUGGUAGAUCCAGCAGCAGGACCAGGAACACAGACAUUCGGGAGUUGGAGGAAAAGGAUGAAGGAUGUCUCAUACAGAUGACAUUAAAUUCUUCUAGCAGAAUGUUGCAUAAACCCAACUGUCAGGUAGUAAAGACAGAUUCCAAGUCUGGAUCUUUGAAGGACAUUUCUUUGGUAGGAAAAUGAGGGAAUCCAUAGAGAAGGAACUGAACAAGAGGCUCCGAAAGCAGAUGAAAGCGUGUGCACAGCGCACUGAGAUGAAACAUUUUGUUGAACUUGAAAGUAUUUGUGUUCUUGGAAAGGCUCUGGCUCUGUGUGUGUGUGUGUGGUUUGUUUUGCUGCUCUGCAAAAUGUUUUUAAGAUGUUGAGGACUUGAUGGUGACUUGGAAGGUAGAAAAUGUCCCAAUUUCUGCCUUCUUCAAAGCAGCUGCAGCCAUUUGCGCCUUCACCCUGCAAAGAGUUGUUAAAACUGUGAAUAAAUGACAGAUUUUGAUGGGGCACCAUGUGAACAGGCACACU
ensembl:lncRNA